GCAGGAUUAGUCUAGCGGCAAUGACAGGAGACUGUAAAUCUCCACCCCUCGGGGUUCCGUGGUUCGAGUCCACGAUCCUGCACCA
rnacentral:tRNA from 2 species